AUACUACACUAAGGGCACUAGAUC
rnacentral:miRNA from 1 species